rnacentral:rRNA from 1 species
UGGGGAAUCUUGGACAAUGGGCGCAAGCCUGAUCCAGCCAUGCCGCGUGAGUGAUGAAGGCCUUAGGGUUGUAAAGCUCUUUUGCCGGGGACGAUAAUGACGGUACCCGGAGAAUAAGUCCCGGCUAACUUCGUGCCAGCAGCCGCGGUAAUACGAAGGGGACUAGCGUUGUUCGGAAUCACUGGGCGUAAAGCGCACGUAGGCGGAUUUGUAAGUCAGGGGUGAAAUCCCGGGGCUCAACCUCGGAACUGCCUUUGAUACUGCGGAUCUCGAGUCCGAUAGAGGUGAGUGGAAUUCCCAGUGUAGAGGUGAAAUUCGUAGAUAUUGGGAAGAACACCAGUGGCGAAGGCGGCUAACUGGUCCGGUACUGACGCUGAGGUGCGAAAGCGUGGGGAGCAAACAGGAUUAGAUACCCAAGUAGUCCCUGAGCGGGCUGGCAAGGCGCAU